rnacentral:rRNA from 1 species
AACGAACGCUGGCGGCAGGCCUAACACAUGCAAGUCGAACGCCCUAGCAAUAGGGAGUGGCGCACGGGUGCGUAACGCGUGGGAAUAUACCCUUCACUGCGGAAUAACGUUUGGAACGAACGCUAAUACCGCAUAAUGACUCCGGUCCAAAGAUUUAUCGGUGAAGGAUUAGCCCGCGUUAGAUUAGCUAGUUGGUGAGGUAAUGGCUCACCAAGGCUACGAUCUAUAGCUGGUCUGAGAGGAUGAUCAGCCACACUGGGACUGAGACACGGCCCAGACUCCUACGGGAGGCAGCAGUGAGGAAUAUUGGACAAUGGGGGGCAACCCUGAUCCAGCCAUGCCGCGUGAGUGAAGAAGGCCUCGGUUGUAAGCUCUUUCUAGUUGUGAGAUAAUGACGGUAGCAACAGAAGAAGACCCCGGCUAAACUUCGUGCCAGCAGCCGCGGUAAU